UACGAAGGGGGCUAGCGUUGCUCGGAAUUACUGGGCGUAAAGGGCGCGUAGGCGGAUAGUUUAGUCAGAGGUGAAAGCCCAGGGCUCAACCUUGGAACUGCCUUUGAUACUGGCCAUCUUGAGUUCGGGAGAGGUGAGUGGAAUGCCGAGUGUAGAGGUGAAAUUCGUAGAUAUUCGGCGGAACACCAGUGGCGAAGGCGGCUCACUGGCCCGGUACUGACGCUGAGGUGCGAAAGCGUGGGGAGCAAACAGG
rnacentral:rRNA from 1 species